rnacentral:rRNA from 1 species
CAGCCGCCGCGGGAAUACGUAGGUGGCAAGCGUUGUCCGGAAUUAUUGGGCGUAAAGGGCUCGCAGGCGGUUUCUUAAGUCUGAUGUGAAAGCCCCCGGCUCAACCGGGGAGGGUCAUUGGAAACUGGGAAACUUGAGUGCAGAAGAGGAGAGUGGAAUUCCACGUGUAGCGGUGAAAUGCGUAGAGAUGUGGAGGAACACCAGUGGCGAAGGCGACUCUCUGGUCUGUAACUGACGCUGAGGAGCGAAAGCGUGGGGAGCGAACAGGAUUAGAUACCCACGUAGUCCCUGUCUCUUAUAU